rnacentral:rRNA from 1 species
AUUGAACGCUGGCGGCAUGCCUUACACAUGCAAGUCGAACGGUAACGGGCCUUCGGGUGCCGACGAGUGGCGAACGGGUGAGUAAUCCAUCGGAACGUGCCCGAUCGUGGGGGAUAACGAGGCGAAAGCUUUGCUAAUACCGCAUACGAUCUACGGAUGAAAGCAGGGGACCGCAAGGCCUUGCGCGGACGGAGCGGCCGAUGGCAGAUUAGGUAGUUGGUGGGAUAAAAGCUUACCAAGCCGACGAUCUGUAGCUGGUAUGAGAGGAUGAUCCGCCACACUGGGACUGAGACACGGCCCAGACUCCUACGGGAGGCAGCAGUGGGGAAUUUUGGACAAUGGGCGCAAGCCUGAUCCAGCCAUGCCGCGUGCAGGAUGAAGGCCUUCGGGUUGGAAACUGCUGUUGUACGGAACGAAAAGCCUUCUUUUAAUACAGGAGGGUCAUGACGGUACCGUAAGAAUAAGCACCGGCUAACUACGUG